CCGGUGAAGUGUUCGGAUUGCGGGACGUGGGCGGUUCGCUGCCCGCGACGUUGUGAGAAGUCCCUGAACCUUAUCAUUUAGAGGAAGGAGAAGUCGUAACAAGGUUUCCGUAGGUGAACCUGCGGAAGGAUCAUUG
rnacentral:rRNA from 1 species